rnacentral:rRNA from 1 species
AGAGUUUGAUCCUGGCUCAGGAUGAANGCUGGCGGCGUGCCUAAUACAUGCAAGUCGAGCGGUAAGGCUCCUUCGGGAGUACACGAGCGGCGGACGGCUGAGUAACGCGUAGGAACGUACCCCAAACUGAGGGAUAACUGCUCGAAAGAGUAGCUAAUACCGCAUGUGCUCUACGGAGUAAAGCUACGGCGGUUUGGGAACGGCCUGCGUACGAUUAGAUUGUUGGUGAGGUAAUGGCUCACCAAGUCGACGAUCGUUAGCUGGUCUGAGAGGAUGAUCAGCCAGACUGGGACUGAGAACGGCCCAGACUCCUACGGGAGGCAGCAGUAGGGAAUUUUCCACAAUGGACGAAAGUCUGAUGGAGCAACGCCGCGUGCAGGAUGAAUGCCUUCGGGUUGUAAACUGCUUUUAUCUGUGACGAAUAUGACGGUAGCAGAUGAAUAAGGAUCGGCUAACUCCGUGCCAGCAGCCGCGGUCAUACGGAGGAUCCAAGCGUUAUCCGGAAUUACUGGGCGUAAAGAGUUGCGUAGGUGGCAGAGUAUGUCUGUAGUGAAAGCGUGUGGCUCAACCAUAUACACAUUACAGAAACUGCUCAGCUAGAGGGCGAGAGAGGUUACUAGAAUUCCUAGUGUAGGAGUGAAAUCCGUAGAUAUUAGGAGGAAUACCGAUGGCGUAGGCAGGUAACUGGCUCGUCCCUGACACUAAGGCACGAAAGCGUGAGUAGCAAACGGGAUUAGAUACCCCGGUAGU